rnacentral:rRNA from 1 species
AUUGAACGCUGGCGGCAUGCCUUACACAUGCAAGUCGAACGGUAACAGGUCUUCGGAUGCUGACGAGUGGCGAACGGGUGAGUAAUACAUCGGAACGUGCCUAGUAGUGGGGGAUAACUACUCGAAAGAGUGGCUAAUACCGCAUGAGAUCUACGGAUGAAAGCCGGGGAUCGCAAGACCUUGUGCUACUAGAGCGGCCGAUGGCAGAUUAGGUAGUUGGUGGGAUAAAAGCUUACCAAGCCGACGAUCUGUAGCUGGUCUGAGAGGACGAUCAGCCACACUGGGACUGAGACACGGCCCAGACUCCUACGGGAGGCAGCAGUGGGGAAUUUUGGACAAUGGGCGAAAGCCUGAUCCAGCAAUGCCGCGUGCAGGAUGAAGGCCUUCGGGUUGUAAACUGCUUUUGUACGGAACGAAAAGCCCCGGGUUAAUACCCUGGGGUCAUGACGGUACCGUAAAAAUAAGCACCGGCUAACUACGUGCCAGCAGCCGCAGUAA